UGGACAAACUGUCCUUUCGCCGCCCCCUAAAUGACUUGGCGGCCUCGUCGCGGCCCUCCUCUGCGUAGUAGCACACACCUCGCAACAGGAGCCCGGCGAAUGGCCACUGCCGUAAAACCCCCCAACUUUUUUCAGAGUUGACCUCGAAUCAGGUAGGAAU
rnacentral:rRNA from 3 species